GUCCGCUUGGUGCAGUCGUAGCAUGCUCUCUUCCGAUUAAGGAGUAAUAAAUUACCGGGAGUGGUCCUGGGUUCAAUCCCCAGAGUGGAUU